rnacentral:lncRNA from 1 species
UGGGUUUCUACCAGUGCCCUAAGAAAGGAAAAUAUUUGGAUCAAGUCUACAGAGAAAUAUCACAAAUGAUUAAAGGACCAAGAAAAAAAAAUCUUGUGAAGUGUUUAAGUGAUUCACAUGAAUCUGAGGUACAGAUGGACUUCAAACUUACGCAGAAUAAGCUAUGAAAAUUGUGUUCAUGGAAUAUUAGAAGGAUCCUUUAACACAGCAGUCCCCACACUUUUUGGCACCAGGAACUGGUUUCAUGGAAGACCAUUUUUCCACUGACCUGGGGGUGGGGGCGAUGGUUUAGGGAUGAUUCAAGUGUAUUACAUUUAUUGUGUACUUUAUUUCUAUUACAUUGUGAUAUAUAAUAAAAUAAUUAUACAACUCACCACAAUGUGGAAUCAGUGACAGCCCUGAGCUUGUUUUCC